rnacentral:lncRNA from 12 species
ACAGGGGAGGGUGCAGGAGGCCAUGUUAUGGGAGCUGAGAUCACAAUGGAGCCAUGCCAAUGCCUUGACCUUGCAAGAGAACCAGAGCCAGUGGAAGAAACACUAUAUCAGCGAGAGUGCCAGAAAAACAAAAGGAAACAAAAAACACUACUUAAACAUGGCAGGUAAGACCAGCACCAUCAUUCUGCAUUCACGAGGGAGACAGAGUGGAUGUUUCGACAGGAGCAUCAGGUGUAAAUGAACUGGGAGUUGCCCGAAGGAAGAGGAUGCAUCAUUCUUGUCCACUUCUGGCCUCUCUAUUCCAAACAUGGUGCCUAGUCCUCAUGAGACACUCCAUAAACGUGCGCUGUGUUUUAAAUGGAAAAUGGAAGUGAGUUCAGCGUCCUGUGCAGAAACACAGCAUUUCAGCUCUGAAUUGUCCUUAACUGUAGUAUAUUCCAUAAAUUUCUCCAUGAAAAUGUCAGCUGUCUCUUUUGUACACAUGUCUAGCGAUUAGCAUUGUUUUCCGUAUUUUUGAAUGCUUAGCUGAAUAAAUUA